AUGUAAAUAAAUUGAUGAAUGAACAAAUAAAUAAAUAGUGUGGAUAUAUUACACUACAUUACAUUUUGUUUAGCACACACUUCUAUCCAAAGCGAUGUACAAUAAGUGUGUACCUAAGGUCAUUGGACCGACUACAAUGUAUAAUUGAAUGCCUAUCAGUGUUGUUCUAUGCAGUUGAAGAAUAGGGUCUAAGUGUUAAGAUUGCGUUAUAAUUGGUUUAAGUGUGGUAAUAAGCCUUUCCAGGAUGGAGUAUUCAGUCAUUAGACUGCUCCUAAGAGAGUGACAGUCUUUCUCAGCUAGGAGGAACAUUAGAUUGCUAGUUAAAGGGAAAGAAUUGGAAUGUCUUCUUCAGGAAUAUCGGUUAGUGGGCAGAUAAACAAACGCCACAAGCGAUGCUGCCUUUGUUUGAUCAGGAAAUGCACGCGUCAAGGUCCGCUGGCCCGAAGAGAGCCCAGCGCUGUGUGUGUUGUGCAUAGUGAUUGGCUAUUACUUUGCACUGAAUUAGCUGUGGUUCGGUUGAGAGCUGUGAAGAGGGCACUUCCUCCGGCUGGGACUGCGCCCGAGACUGAGCCUGCUGAGCGGUAGGGCCGCACCCUUCACACUAUCCCCUCUGUUCCUGUUUCCUGUUAACAGACAUCAUCGUCUCGUCAUCAUGUAAGAAGCAGGACUCAGAGAGGACCCUCAGAUGCCACAAUCAGACUCUACUGUUCUGGCAGAAAUCAUGGGUGUGGCCUGUAACCAGGACAACCAAUGACCUCCCUCCUAGAUGUUCCCUGACGCAAGUAUCCAUUCUUCACUCAAUAAAGCAAGCAAGCUCUACAAUAACAGUGCCCACCGGAUUUGAUCUGACUCUGCUCUUCACAUUAAGAUCUCGUAGAGCUGUUUUGAUUAUCGUCUAAUUAUUGUGACAUAAUUCACGUAAUGUGGAAGUGGUUCUCUCAUUUCCAGCUGAAAUUGCCCAAGGGUGCAUCAUAUCCUGUCAGAUUAAUGAGAAUGGGUUAAAUUGAUCGGUGUCCAAGAGGAAACCAUGUGUACAGGGACACUGGCUUUUUUACAAGCUGGAUAUUUACCCCAACAAGACUGCUAAAAUUCAGCAAUGUCUGAAAUAUAUUAAAAUGUCAUCUUGUCACUGUUUUCAUUUUUUUCUGCUAUUAUAAGUUUUAAUUGCCAAUUUACUGUUUAAUCAAAAGUAAACAAGAGACUAAACUAUUGUCACUACACCUAAACUUGCUCAGCAGUAGCAUAAUGUUGAAAUCUGGGUCAUCCAGGACCACUUUUGCAGAGAAUUGCCCACAGCAAUGGAAAAAAAUGACCUGUAAGUUAUUACUGAAUUUAAAUAUGAAUUUAAUACCUUGAACCGAUGAUUAAUCUACUUAUUAUUUCUUCAUGGCCUAAACGAUUAGGUUCAUCUGGUCGAUAUACUUAGUGUUGCUGUCUGCACUGAGAAGCAAGGAGGAUUUAAAUCGUAAUUUCGCAUAACCUAACAUUAACACUAGAGGUCGUUGUCGGGCACUAAAUAGCAAUCGUCCACUUACCCAUUUACGGCCCUGAAUGGCACAAUGAGUACAAAGUACCACUACAAAAUGACGUUAUGACGUAAUUCUGUAAAUGUUCAUAUUUUAUUUUUAAUUCAGUUUGAUCAUGUGAAAUAAAUAAAUAAAGUAU